rnacentral:rRNA from 1 species
UACAGAGGGUGCAAGCGUUAAUCGGAAUUACUGGGCGUAAAGCGUGCGUAGACGGUUAUUUAAGUCAGGUGUGAAAGCCCAGGGCUCAACCUUGGAAUUGCAUUUGAGACUGAAUAGCUAGGGUGCGGAAGAGGGAAGCGGAAUUUCCGGUGUAGCGGUGAAAUGCGUAGAUAUCGGAAGGAACACCAGUGGCGAAAGCGGCUCCUGGUCCAGCACCGACGUUCAGGCACGAAAGCGUGGGGAGCAAACAGG